GGGAAACGGUAGUGUUAUGACGUAAAAGAAUUAUGUUCUGUGCGUAUUGUUAUCAGAAUUUGAUAAAUAUAAAUUUGAGUUUUGAAUUUUUAACAGUGAAUUGUUAAUAAUCUCGCAUGAGAUUUGUCGCGAUAAAAUUGCAAUUAAAUAAAUAAAUACAAGCAUGAUGAAUUCCAGGUGAAGUGAUUAUUGCUAUUGUGUCUGAAAGCAAAGCCAAAAACUGUUUUUAGUAAAGCAGAUCAUAUUCUGGACGAUUCUUCUGAGAUUAUUGGAAAUAGAUGAUUCCAUGAAUUACUUUUCAAAAUUAUUGAAAAUAAUGCAUGUAAAAUGAUGCUACAUAUAUAAUUUAUUGAUCUUUUGAACAUCUCAUUUGAAACACCUGUGAUAAAUCUAGUGCUGGAUUUGAAAUUUUGUAGAAAAAAGGCUUACUUGUCAGCAAAUUUUCUGUUUUGGAGAUUUAUGAACAAGAUUAUUUUUAGUUGCAGUAUUAAGAGAAGAAAAAGAGACGCCAGUAUGGAACCUUUUCCAAAUGUUCUGGUAAAUGCAUCAGAAUUCAUAAAAGGACGCCUCUAUUUUGUUUCCCUAAACACGGCAGUUAAACCGAAAUCAUCAACAACAGUACAUUAUUUUUCUGUUGACAGUGAAUUAAAAUAUGAAAAAUUCUACAAAGACUUUGGCCCCCUCAAUUUAUCAAUGUUAUAUCAUUACUGUAAUAAAGUACAAAAAAAGUUGACUAGUGUCAGCCAUCAGAAUAAAAGGAUUGUACAUUACACUGGGCCUGUUGAUGAAGAUAGAGUUAACGCAGCAUUUCUCAUUGGUUGUUAUGCAAUAAUAUACUUACGUUUUGAUCCAAUACAAGUGCAUGAUAUAUUGAUGAGAGAUACCAAGAAACCUUACAUACAAUUUCGAGAUGCAUCUUGUGGGGAGCCAUAUAAUUUGUCAUUAUUAGAGUGCUUGAAAGCAGUGAAAAAGGCCUUUGAUCUUAAGUUUUUCAACUUUAAUGAUUUUGAUUUUAAUGAAUAUGAAUAUUAUGAGAAAGUGGAGAAUGGAGAUUUAAAUUGGAUCGUACCUAACAAAUUCAUUGCAUUUUGUGGACCUCACCAAAAAGCAAAAUUCAACAAUGGGUAUUAUGUACAUUCACCAGAAACAUACUUUGGAUAUUUCCGAAGGAACAAUGUUACCACUAUAGUACGACUAAAUUAUGGAGUUUAUGAUGCAGCUAAGUUUGUUCUUGCUGGUUUUGAGCACAAAGAUCUUUAUUUCGUUGAUGGAGGUACUCCUAAUGAUAGAUUAAUGGAAAUAUUCUUAAAAAUAGCAGAAGAGACAGAUGGAGCUGUUGCGGUGCACUGUAAAGCUGGUUUGGGGCGAACAGGAACGAUGAUAGCCUGUUAUCUUAUCAAACACUAUAAAUUCACAGCGGAUGAAGCGAUUGCAUGGAUUAGAAUAUGCCGACCUGGUUCUGUUAUUGGCCAACAACAAUCUUGGCUGCAUGACAAAGAACAAGACUUGAUAGCAGCGGGGGAAAUCUACAGGAAGCUUAAGGGAAAACCCGACAUAUCAAAGGUUGAAACUCCUAUUUACACUACUAGUGAAAUAACAAAAAAAACCAUUUAUAAUGUCAGUAAAAUUAUGAAGAGAGUCGAUACUAUGGAAAUUACUGAUCGUAAUGAUAAUUAUACGAUCCGAGGGAAAACUCAAGGUGACAAACUGAAUGAAAUCAAAGCCCAGAGAUUCAGGAUAAAACCUGCUGUCAUCACAGAGUUGUAUGAGCCACACAAUCUUCCAACCCAAACCCUGAAUGGAACCAGCACUAACUCUAGAGCAAAUAGGAUGCUGAAUACAACACAGUCCAAAGUUGGAGGUACUACAAGGCACAUCUCCAAAAGGUCUGUAUCAAACGAGUGGUAUUUGCAUGACUGGCUUCUCACACAACAAAAGUGCUUUCAAUAACUCCCAAGAAAUUAUAAUUGAAUGUAACAUUUGAUAAUAUAAUGCUGAAAGCUUUCAAGGGGGAGAUUGUAAUUUAUCGAAUCAAUCAUUUGUACUCAAGAGCAGAAAAGGUGCACCUAAUGUAACUAAAUUUUCAUUCUCUGUGAAGACAAACAUAAUCAUUAUAUGUAUAUCUGUGUUUGUGCACUUAAAUGGAUGAUUUUAUUAUAUAAUUAGUGGUGUAUAGCAUUCAUCCAUUUUCGAUGAAAAUCGAAACAAACAAAAUAUGAUUUUCAGCUGAUGCAUUGUUAUUAGCUACUUUCACAUAUAGGUGCUUCAUGUUGCCAGAGAUUCUUGUUGAAUCUAUCGAAAUCUCUUAAAAAUUAUUAACACAAAAACAUAAAGGAGUAUUUAUUAUCCAAUGUUUAUUCAUGGUUUUAUUGUAAAUACCUGUUGACAUAAUUUAAGUUUAUUUAUAUGUUAAGAGUUUUAUCAUAACAAAAUGAGAUGUAUGGUUUAUGCCUCUGAGAAAAAUAUGUUUUAUAAUUUUUCAAAUUCCAUGGUCUUUGAUCUCAUGCGCAAUAGUAUUUUUCAGUUAUUGCUAUUAUAUAAAAUGAUAUUAGUAAAUAAAAAUGCUAUGUUGAAUUCAAUGCAGAAACAAUUGGAAUUGCUGUAUUAUAGAUGCAAUGCUUUUUUUUUAAGAAGUGUCUUAAAAUAGUUAACACAAAAACUUAAAAUAAUAUUAUCCAAUGUUUACUCAUGGUUUUAUUGUAAAUACCUGUUGACAUAGUUUAAGUUUAAUAUUUUAUAUCUUAAGAGUUUUAUCAUUAUAAAUUAGAUAUAUUGUUAUGCCUUGGAGAAAAAUAUUUUUUUUCCUAAAUUUUUAAAUUCUGUUACUUAAAAUGAUAUUAGUCAAUGAAAAACUUCUAUCUUGAAUUCAAUAUAGAAACAAAUGAAAUUGCUAUUAUGUAGGUGCAAUGAUUUUUUUUUAUUUGAGUAGAAAGGAGAGGCAUAAUUACAUUGUUUAUUUCAUUUAUAACUAAUAUGUAUAUCCUUUUGUUGAUAUGUAAGGUUACAUUAUGUAAAAUGAUUUAAUUUCUUAUAAUAGACGAGUAUCUGUUAUA